rnacentral:rRNA from 1 species
GAUGAACGCUGGCGGCGUGCUUAACACAUGCAAGUCGAGCGAAGCACUUAAGUUUGAUUCUUCGGAUGAAGACUUUUGUGACUGAGCGGCGGACGGGUGAGUAACGCGUGGGUAACCUGCCUCAUACAGGGGGAUAACAGUUAGAAAUGACUGCUAAUACCGCAUAAGACCACGGUACCGCAUGGUACAGUGGUAAAAACUCCGGUGGUAUGAGAUGGACCCGCGUCUGAUUAGGUAGUUGGUGGGGUAACGGCCUACCAAGCCGACGAUCAGUAGCCGACCUGAGAGGGUGACCGGCCACAUUGGGACUGAGACACGGCCCAGACUCCUACGGGAGGCAGCAGUGGGGAAUAUUGCACAAUGGAGGAAACUCUGAUGCAGCGACGCCGCGUGAAGGAUGAAGUAUUUCGGUAUGUAAACUUCUAUCAGCAGGGAAG